GUGCUCCUAUGAAAGGUGAGAGAGGGCUAGCAAACCCCUGGGCAAGAAUGGGAAGACACUGUAAUGCCCCAUACAACACAGAUAUGCUUAAGGCACUGACCACCACGGACUUACUGUGCGUAUGAUAAACAAACAAAAACACCAUACUUG
ensembl:snRNA